AACGAACGCUGGCGGCAGGCCUAACACAUGCAAGUCGAGCGGAUGACGGGAGCUUGCUCCUUGAUUCAGCGGCGGACGGGUGAGUAAUGCCUAGGAAUCUGCCUGGUAGUGGGGGACAACGUUUCGAAAGGAACGCUAAUACCGCAUACGUCCUACGGGAGAAAGCAGGGGACCUUCGGGCCUUGCGCUAUCAGAUGAGCCUAUGUCGGAUUAGCUAGCUGGUGAGGUAAUGGCUCACCAAGGCGACGAACCGUAACUGGUCUGAGAGGAUGAGCAGACACACUGGAACUGAGACACGGUCCAGACUCCUACGGGAGGCAGCAGUGGGGAAUAUUGGACAAGGGGCGAAAGCCUGAUCCAGCCAGGCCGCGUGUGUGAAGAAGGUCUUCGGAUUGUAAAGCACUUUAAGUUGGGAGGAAGGGCAGUAAGUUAAUACCUUGCUGUUUUGACGUUACCGACAGAAGAAGCACCGGCUAACUCUGUGCCAGCCGCCGCCGUAACAC
rnacentral:rRNA from 1 species